rnacentral:rRNA from 1 species
AUACGGAGGAUCCGAGCGUUAUCCGGAUUUAUUGGGUUUAAAGGGUGCGUAGGUGGUUUGAUAAGUCAGCGGUGAAAGUUUGCAGCUUAACUGUAAAAAUGCCGUUGAAACUGUCGGACUUGAGUGUAAAUGAGGUAGGCGGACUGCGUGGUGUAGCGGUGAAAUGCAUAGAUAUCACGCAGAACUCCGAUUGCGAAGGCAGCUUACUAAGCUACAACUGACACUGAAGCACGAAAGCGUGGGGAUCAAACAGGAUUAGAUACCCUGGUAGUCCACGCAGUAAACGAUGAUUACUAGCUGUUUGCGAUACACAGUAAGCGGCACAGCGAAAGCGUUAAGUAAUCCACCUGGGGGGUACGCCGGCAACGGUGAAACUCAAAUGAAUUGACGGGG